rnacentral:tRNA from 1 species
GUCGGGGUAGUCCAUAAAGAAUAACAGCCUGUCUAGCUGAAGGUGCCUGUGGUUAGGUCUCCGAUG